rnacentral:rRNA from 1 species
UGGGGAAUCUUCCACAAUGGACGCAAGUCUGAUGGAGCAACGCCGCGUGAGUGAAGAAGGUUUUCGGAUCGUAAAGCUCUGUUGUUGGUGAAGAAGGAUAGAGGUAGUAACUGGCCUUUAUUUGACGGUAAUCAACCAGAAAGUCACGGCUAACUACGUGCCAG